rnacentral:rRNA from 1 species
AGUGAACGCUGGCGGUAGGCCUAACACAUGCAAGUCGAACGGCAGCACAGUAAGAGCUUGCUCUUACGGGUGGCGAGUGGCGGACGGGUGAGGAAUACAUCGGAAUCUACUUUUUCGUGGGGGAUAACGUAGGGAAACUUACGCUAAUACCGCAUACGACCUACGGGUGAAAGCAGGGGAUCUUCGGACCUUGCGCGAUUGAAUGAGCCGAUGUCGGAUUAGCUAGUUGGCGGGGUAAAGGCCCACCAAGGCGACGAUCCGUAGCUGGUCUGAGAGGAUGAAUAGGGGCAAUGGGACUGAGACACGGACCAGACUGCGAGGGGAGGCAGCAGUGGGGAAUAUAGGAGAAGGGGAGAAAGCCUGAGAAAGAAAUGCAGCGGGAGUGAAGAAGGGGUGAGGAUAGUAAAGCUAUCUUACAAGGGAUGAUAAGGACGGGAGCGGGAGAAGAAGAGCAGGCUAACUUAGUG